CCUACGGGAGGCAGCAGUGAGGAAUAUUGGUCAAUGGACGAGAGUCUGAACCAGCCAAGUAGCGUGAAGGAUGACUGCCCUAUGGGUUGUAAACUUCUUUUAUAUGGGAAUAAAAUGUUCCAAGUGUGGGAUUUUGUAUGUACCAUAUGAAUAAGGAUCGGCUAACUCCGUGCCAGCAGCCGCGGUCAUAAGUAGGAUCCGAGAAUUAUCCGGGGUGACUUGGUUUAAAGAGUUGCGUACGUGGCAUAAUAAUUAGCUAUUGAAAUCUGGUGGCGCAAACAUUCAGACUAUUAGCUAAACUGUUAAGCUAGAGACAGUUAGGGGUAACUGGAAUUUCUAGUGUAGGAGUGAAAUCCGUAGAUAUUAGAAAGAACACCAAAGGCGUAGGCAGGUUACUGGGACGGUUCUGACACUAAGGCACGAAAGCGUAGGGAGCAAACGGGAUUAGAUACCCCUGUAGUC
rnacentral:rRNA from 1 species